UACGUAGGGUGCGAGCGUUAAUCGGAAUUACUGGGCGUAAAGCGUGCGCAGGCGGUUUCACAAGCUCGAUGUGAAAGCCCCGGGCUUAACCUGGGAAUGGCAUUGGAAACUGGCUCGCUGGAGUGUGGCAGAGGGGGGUGGAAUUCCGCGUGUAGCAGUGAAAUGCGUAGAGAUGCGGAGGAACACCGAUGGCGAAGGCAGCCCCCCUGGGCUAACACUGACGCUCAGGCACGAAAGCGUGGGGAGCAAACAGG
rnacentral:rRNA from 1 species